CAGUGUGGUAGAGAUUAACCUGUGAGCGCAUGGUGUAUUAAUGCAGCACUAAUUCACACAUAGUAUAAAGAUACAGCAUUGGGCACCGGAUACAAAGAUAGUGAUAGGCACACAGGGUUUAGUUUUAGUUUUGGGUACAGGGUGCAGUGAUAGGCACACAGGGUUUAGUUGUAGUUUUGGGUACAGGAUGCAGUGAUAGGCACACAGGGUUUAGUUUUGGGUACAGGGUGCAGUGAUAGGCACACAGGGUUUAGGUUUAGUUUUGGGUACAGGGUGCAGUGAUAGGCACACAGGGUUUAGUUGUAGUUUUGGGUGCAGGAUGCAGCGAUAGGCACACAGGGUUUAGUUGUAGUUUUAGGUACAGGAUGCAGUGAUAGGCACACAGGGUUUAGUUGUAGUUUUAGGUACAGGAUGCAGUGAUAGGCACACAGGGUUUAGUUGUAGUUUUGGGUACAGGAUGCAGUGAUAGACACACGUUGCAGAGUUGUAGUUUUAGGUACAGUGUGCAGUGAUAGGCACACAGGGUUUAGUUGUAGUUUUGGGUACAGGGUGCAGUGAUAGACACACGUUGCAGAGUUGUAGUUUUAGGUACAGGGUGCAGUGAUAGGCACACAGGGUUUAGUUGUAGUUUUGGGUACAGGGUGCAGUGAUAGGCACACAGUGUCUAGUUUAAGUUUUGGGUACAGGGUGCAGUGAUAGGCACACAGGGUUUAGUUGUAGUUUUGGGUACAGGAUGCAGUGAUAGGCACACAGUGUCUAGUUUAAGUUUUGGGUACAGGGUGCAGUGAUAGGCACACAGGGUUUAGUUUUAGUUUUGGUUACAGGAUGCAGUGAUAGGCACACAGUGUUUAGUUUUGGUUUUGGUUACAGGAUGCAGUGAUAGGCACACAGUGUUUAGUUUUGGUUUUGGGUACAGGAUGCAGUGAUAGGCACACAGUGUUUAGUUUUGGGUACAGUGUGCAGUGAUAGGC